CGUGAGGGAAAGGCGAAAAGAACCCCGGCGAGGGGAGUGAAAAAGAACCUGAAACCGUGUACGUACAAGCAGUGGGAGCACAGGUUUACCUGUGUGACUGCGUACCUUUUGUAUAAUGGGUCAGCGACUUAUAUUCUGUAGCAAGGUUAACCGAAUAGGGGAGCCGGAGGGAAACCGAGUCUUAAUUGGGCGUUAAGUUGCAGGGUAUAGACCCGAAACCCGGUGAUCUAGCCAUGGGCAGGUUGAAGGUUGGGUAACACUAACUGGAGGACCGAACCGACUAAUGUUGAAAAAUUAGCGGAUGACCUGUGGCUGGGGGUGAAAGGCCAAUCAAACCGGGAGAUAGCUGGUUCUCCCCGAAAGCUAUUUAGGUAGCGCCUCGUGAAUUCAUCUCCGGGGGUAGAGCACUGUUUCGGCUAGGGGGCCAUCCCGGCUUACCAACCCGAUGCAAACUGCGAAUACCGGAGAAUGUUAUCACGGGAGACACACGGCGGGUGCUAACGUCCGUCGUGAAGAGGGAAACAACCCAGACCGCCAGCUAAGGUCCCAAAGUCAUGGUUAAGUGGGAAACGAUGUGGGAAGGCCCAGACAGCCAGGAUGUUGGCUUAGAAGCAGCCAUCAUUUAAAGAAAGCGUAAUAGCUCACUGGUCGAGUCGGCCUGCGCGGAAGAUGUAACGGGGCUAAACCAUGCACCGAAGCUGCGGCAGCGACGCUUAUGCGUUGUUGGGUAGGGGAGCGUUCUGUAAGCCUGUGAAGGUGGCCUGUGAGGGUUGCUGGAGGUAUCAGAAGUGCGAAUGCUGACAUAAGUAACGAUAAAGCGGGUGAAAAGCCCGCUCGCCGGAAGACCAAGGGUUCCUGUCCAACGUUAAUCGGGGCAGGGUGAGUCGACCCCUAAGGCGAGGCCGAAAGGCGUAGUCGAUGGGAAACGGGUUAAUAUUCCCGUACUUGGUGUUACUGCGAAGGGGGGACGGAGAAGGCU
rnacentral:rRNA from 1 species